rnacentral:rRNA from 1 species
GACGAACGCUGGCGGCGUGAUUAACACAUGCAAGUCGAACGAAGUGGCGAACGGGUGAGUAACGCGUAAUCAACCUGCCCUUCAGAGGGGGACAACAGUUGGAAACGAUUGAUAAUACCGCAUACUGAAGGCGGGGCAUGCGUCUGAUUCGCAGUUUGGAGGGGGAACGGCCCACUAAGGCGAUGAUCAGUAGCCGGUCUGAGAGGAUGAACGGCCACAUUGGGACUGAGACACGGCCCAGACUCCUACGGGAGGCAGCAGUGGGGAAUCUUCCGCAAUGGACGAAAGUCUGACGGAGCAACGCCGCGUGAGUGAUGACGGCCUUCGGGUUGUAAAGCUCUGUUAAUCGGGACGCGGUACCGGAAUAGAAAGCCACGGCUAACUACGUGCCAGCAGCCGCGGUAAUUC